rnacentral:rRNA from 1 species
CGAGAUUCCCCCAGUAGCGGCGAGCGAACGGGGAGCAGCCCAGAGCCUGAAUCAGUGUGUGUGUUAGUGGAAGCGUCUGGAAAGGCGCGCGAUACAGGGUGACAGCCCCGUACACAAAAAUGCACAUACUGUGAGCUCGAUGAGUAGGGCGGGACACGUGGUAUCCUGUCUGAAUAUGGGGGGACCAUCCUCCAAGGCUAA